GGACCGGGCCAGGAACGCUCCUGGGGGGCGCCAUCAGCUGUCCGGGCCUCCGAGGCUGGGCCCCGGUGUGGGAGAGCUCCGUGAAGUUUUGAACACCCAGAUCUCUACAUGGUGUCCGGCCCAUGGUCAGCGUUCAGUAACUCGUCACAGAAGGUGGAACGGAGGGACCCUUGGUAGACACAACAGAAGAUAUGGACAGGCAGCAGGAAACAUAGAACAAUUU
rnacentral:lncRNA from 1 species